UACAGAGGGUGCGAGCGUUAAUCGGAAUUACUGGGCGUAAAGCGUGCGUAGGUGGAUUAUUAAGUCAUAUGUGAAAGCCCUGGGCUUAACCUAGGAAUUGCAUAUGAUACUGGUAGUCUAGAGUAUGGUAGAGGAUGGUGGAAUUUCUGGUGUAGCGGUGAAAUGCGUAGAUAUCAGAAGGAAUACCGGUGGCGAAGGCGACCGUCUGGGCCAAUACUGACACUGAGGCACGAAAGCGUGGGUAGCAAAC
rnacentral:rRNA from 1 species